rnacentral:tRNA from 1 species
GCCCCCAUGGCCCAAUUGGAUAAGGCGACUGCCUUCUAAGCAGUAGACUGUGGGUUCGAGUCCCACUGGGGGUU